AUACUUACCUGGCAAGGGAGACACCGUGAUCACCAAGGCGGUUCACCCAGGGCGAGGCUCGGCCAUUGCACUCCGGCUGUGCUGACCCCUGCGAAUUUCCCAAAUGUGGAAAUCUCGAUUGCAUAAUUUCUGGUAGUGGGGACUGCGUUCGCGCUCUCCCCU
ensembl:snRNA U1 U1 spliceosomal RNA